GAUGAACGCUGGCGGCGUGCCUAAUACAUGCAAGUCGAGCGAAAAGAUGAGGUGCUUGCUCUUAUGCCGUUAGCGGCGGACGGGCGAGUACCACGUGGAUAACCUACCUAUAUGACUGGGAUGACUUCGGGAAACAGGAGCUAAUUCCGGAUAAUAUAUUUUACCGCAUGGUUCCAUAGUGAAAGACGGUUUUGCUGUCACUUAUAGAUGGAUCCGCGCCGCAUUAGCUAGUUGGUAAGGUAACGUCUUACCAAGGCAACGAGGCGGAGCCGACCUGAGGGGGUGAGCGGACACACUGGAACUGAGACACGGUCCAGACUCCAACGGGAGGCAGCAGUAGGGAAUCUUCCGCAAUGGGCGAAAGCCUGACGGAGCAACGCCGCGUGAGGGAUGAAGGUCUUCGGAUCGUAAAACUCUGUUAUUAGGGAAGAACAAAUGUGUAAGUAACGAGGCACGUCUUGACGGUACCUAAUCAGAAAGCCACGGCUAACUACGUG
rnacentral:rRNA from 1 species